rnacentral:lncRNA from 1 species
CCUGCUUGCCCUUGGGCAGGUCAUUUGCCUUGAACAGAUUUCUGAAUAAGAAAAUCCCUUUCCCUUUUAUCACGUUUGAGAAGAUCGUGACAGACACGCGUCUGUUUACACGGCCAUGCAGGCCUGUUUUGCUCAUCCCUUGGCAAACUGCCACCCAGUGAUGAAUUUCAGAGGCGUAAGAAUGUGGCUGAAAGCAAGAAUGUGGGCACAGGCUCCCGCUGAGGUCACCACAUGCGAGAUAUUCCAAAAGCAUUGCUCAGUUAUAAGAGAAGACGAUUAAAAAAAGCCGUGCAGGAGAAUGGAAGAAGCUAAAUAUAUCUCAGCCUCUAACAUCAUGUCAAUGAAAAGUAAAAUUUACCAAUUGGAUAACACACGUGUCUUGCACUGACCACUGUCUAUACUUGGAGUUGGUAGUUUUCAUUGAUCGAAUGCUGCCAAGUCCGUGAUAUUUCUAGCUAUUACCUCCAAUUUCUGGAAGGAAAAAGCCAAACAGUGAAUGUCUUAACAGGAGUAAAUGAAAACAGGUGCCAGGAAAACAGAAAGAUGAAUGCUAAGGUCCUAACAUACGGCGACUAGAACUACCUUGGGUACCACAUGGUCCUGUGGAACUGGCCCUCCCUGUAUUGGACAUGUGAGCAUCCUUGCAUUUCUUCUGCAUUUUGUAGCCCUGGAUAUUCCUAGGCAACAUCCUACUAUCAUUUCUCUAUUUCAAAGCGUAAACUUGCUAGCCCGAGGAGCUAUUAGUAUUGUGUUCACUAUUAAAUUCCCUGAUAGAAGUUCCUUAGAAAGCUGGGAAGUCAUUUCAUUUCUGGAGUGGUUUUGUUUUCUCUUGGAGCACAUGAUUGGGGAGGUCAAUUAGGAUUGCCUUUUGGUCCUGGACUCUAAGAACUUCCCUUCCUCUCUUUCUUCUCCCAUCUCUGUCCCCUCUUCCUCCCUCCUACCUUCAUCUAGAGUUUGCCCCAUUUAGGAGAAAGGGUGGAGUUAGCUCUGAUCCCUGUGCUGGAGGACUUGCAAAUGAGAGGGAAGGAGGGAGGGAGGGUAAUGAGUGAUCCAGAGAGGGGGAAAGAGGGAAGCAGCAUUUGAGCCGAGGCUUGAAGGCUUGGUAGGACUCUGGCAGGUGGAUGAGGACAGGGACGGAUGCUGGGGUGGACAGGAUGGUGGGAGGAAGUGGCAGAGGUGUGGGCGGGCGUGAG